UGGAAGGACCCUCGUGAUUUUUUAUUAUAUACGAAGAAAAAUACUGUUAGAUUAAUUAAUCUGAGCUCUAACUUAUACUUCCAAAACAUAAUUCCAAACACAUAAUUAACGAAGAAAAGAGACACACGUACAGAAGAAAAGGGAGGUGGAUGCUGAAAUAGAACGAUAGACAAUUCUGGUGAAGGUAAUAGAGGUUGACUGCCAGCUGCAGGUGCAUGCUAUAUAUCCUUAUUCCUCAUGCUAUUGAUUUAUUUAUAUUUAUAUAUAUGCAUGAGGUGAUACUGAUCAGCUGCAAGCGUGCGGCGCGAAUCCAAUUCUCUCAUUUCCUACAUCGUAGACUACUUCAAAUGUUCGCUGCUGCACAUUGCCAAUGAUCCCCAAGCGAUCAACUUGCUUACCAGAAAAUGCCAAGCAGUCAUGCCUGAGGAUCCCAGAUACGUUGAGAUCCAGUGUGACUCCAUCGAAGUGCAGCGCUACUUUGGGGACUGUUAUGGUCUUGUAGCCACUGAAGUCAUAACAGGUAUCAAGCAGUCCGUUAGUAGGCUUAAGAGGGUACGCCGACAUGUGCUCCCGGAACGCCGACCUCAGGGCCUCGUAGGCCGACGGCGGGAGGCGAGUGAUCGUAGUGCCGGAGUCCAAUAUCGUGCCACCGGACCUAAAAACCGAUGGCGAAAUGGCGAGCUGCUCCCCGGCCACGCUGAUUCCGAUCAGGUCAACGAAGUAAAAGCUUGGAUACUUGGAGCUGGUCUGCAUUCGAGUGUAAACGGUGUUGGAGGCGUCACUAGGUUCGCCCAGUUUUAGGAACCCCAUGUUGCUGGAAGUCGAAGGAAGGCAGUAGGAGAAGACCGAGUGGUAAAGUUGCGACGUCUGAGACACAAGCGACUGCUUGCCACGGCCGAGACCCACGAGCCCUGCGGCGUCGUGGAACAGCCCUUCGUUGUCGGUGCCGCACCCGAAGAGGAAGUGCUCGAUCACGUCGUUUGGCGACAGCGUCAGUCUGUCGUAGCUGUAGACUCCUGAACUGUUCGACCCAUCGCCGUAGGGGAUGAAAUAAGCGCAAGAGCUGGAGCAGCUGCCUCGGGGCUGACUGCAUUCCGACGAGUUGCAAGGGAUCGCGGCGUAGGAGGAUGAUUGGGAUGGGUCAAAGAUCGGCUCCUGCUGCGAGUAGCAUUUGUUGCAUGGUUUGCAUUGGAUCCAACUCAGGUCGCUCCCGGUGUCCAUCGUCACAGUCUGCUCUCGGCUGGGGGUGCCAUAGCCGACGGUGAUCACGUACUCCCCUCCUCCGAACUCCGCGGGGAUGCUUGCCAAGGAAUCAUUGAGCUGUGACUUCACGACACCCUUUAGGAGAUAAUUUACUCGAAGUUGGUCUUUAAGAAGGAUUUGUUCAGGUGAUGGCAGUUCCUUUGUCUCGAAGGGGGAGCAGGGUCCAUAUCGACUGACCAACCGUAUAGAGGUAACGUUGGAUCCUGAGAACCAUGCAUGCAUGCAUGGAAGUAUAUAUCACCACCAAUAGUCAGUAUUAAUUUUUUGUCUUUUAAGUAAUUUUACGUCAAACAAGUGCAGCAAUUUAUAAGUACAACUUCCAUCUGCUUGCUCGGUAACAUCGUGCUUCCAAUUUACAGCUUAAAGAGAUAGAGAAGGAAGUCUUAGUUAAAACUACAGAUGAUACUUUAUAACAGCAGCGCAAAUAAAACACCAAAAGUAAGAGGCAGCCGAUGUAUGAUUAACCUUUGAGCGGGGAGCAGACUGCUCCGGGAUUCAAAGAACGUCUUUGAACCUUAUGGUAGCUCUGUACUUCUCCAUUGGCAAGGUGAGAACGGUAGCUUAGGAGCAGAAACAGAACACAAGAGCUGGUUAGGAGGGCAGCUGAAGCCAUUAGUUAGCUGGGGAGAUACAAGUCUUGUGCGUAGGAGCUCUGGCUAUGCAUCCAAUUUAUAGAGAACCUUCAAUGCUACCUUCUCUCCUUGAAUCUUCAAAGCGAUGCUUUUGGUUUGGCCUCUGAUUACCACAUGCGAAAUUGAUUUAGAAGGCUGUGGACUAGUCGUUGACGUAGGACCCACUGGCUUAGUCAAGGUCAGAUUGUCCGAUCUUCGCGGAGUCACAUAAAUUUUAUCUCGUAUCCCCGUCGACGUGUGGAAGAUCCAUGGAAAUGAUAAGAUCUCCAGUCAGCUACCAGUCCGAAGCGAUGACUUGCAACGAUCCAAGGUCUUCACGUGGUGAUUUCUUCGGUUACCAGGUCCGAUGUAUCUGCCAGUAAUUAAUUCGUGGACUCAUGGCAUCCGACUGGAGUUAAUUGACAGCAAUCAUAUGGCAUGAUUCGACGUCCACAGGAUCAUUUUCCACUGUGGCUCAUGCGGAACCAGAUUGCAAAGAACAUGUCAUACCUCAGAGCUACUUCGGUCCUCCAACUACUAUGAGAAGAACUUUAGCUGGUUCACUGAUAUGAUAAGUUCUAGGCGCUGAAACAGUUGUGGGCUUAAGGAACCGACACAGGCGAUGUGAUAUUGCUGCACUUCUCUUGUUGGCCAUGUCGGAGGGUAAGGAAAAGAAGAAGAUGAGGAGGAGGAGGAGGAGGAGGAAGCAGGGUAAGACAGGGACGGCGAGGUGGCGAUUUACGAGACAGUCAAGAACUGGAUGAUUGCACCGGACAAAGUACGUCUAUAUCAUAACAGCUAAGAAACAAUGACAUGCGUUCUCGGAUUAAUUAUGGACCAUAUUAUUGAGCAAUAUCUUCUUUUGUUUCGUUUAUCAUCUUUUGCGCUUGACUAUAUCUGUGCAUUACUGAUAGCAAAUGGCCGAAAGCUGCCUGUAUUUAUAUUUCUUUCUUUUUUCGCGUUAGAUAAGGCUCAGGUACAGAAGCUAUGAAGACAAAGGGAAGGAAAAGACUGGUCACAACAAUUCGGUAAUGUAAUGUUUUUGAUAAGAAUACAAGCGAAUAGAUAUGUGUUACGUAUCGGAUUAAGCGUAUCAAAUCGAAUGAUAGAAAUCAAUAAUUUAGUUCAAACCAGCAUCAGACUGUAUAAAAAAAAAAAAGUAAUUUUUUUGAAAAAAAUUCUUCUUUUUUUUUCUGAAAAGGGAUCUCUGUUUUACUUUUUCACAAAAUGAGACUCCCUAAUUCAAAUAAUACUCAAAAUACUCACCGUCAUUGCUAAUGGUAUUUUUCUCAUCAAAUUUGUUUUGUCUAUUUUUUUAUUAGUUUCGAAUCAUUAUAGUGUUUUUAUUUGGCUCAUUUAUAAUAUUUUUCAAUAGCAUUACGGUAUUGUGAUGGUGGCAAUAAUUUUUACCCAUAUUUAGAUGAUGUUGUUAUUCAUAAAUUAUUAUUAUAGUACCUAUUUGAAUUCUAAUAUGAUAUAUUAAAUAAUUUUUAGUAUAUUUUGAUUUUAUUUGACUUGCUUAUAGUAUUUUUUUUACAACAUUAUAGGUUUUAUUAUGAUAUUAAGGAUAUUAUAAAGCUAUUGAAAAAUAUUGUAAGUAACUUCGUAUUAUGUCUCUUUGCUUAUCGUUGCUCAUAGAUUAUUACACUACCAAAUCAUGGAUGCUGAACACAUGCAUAUUUGGAGGUUUUCGAUACGCUGACGAACGAGAAAGAGCAAGGAAGAGGAGGAGGUGGUGGAGGCAACGGCGGCAGGAAAAGCAAGCAAGAGAAGCCAUUACGCUUGCAGAACUCGGUGAUCUGAGCUUGGAACGAGUGAAGGGAGUAGCUCUAAAUAGCUGUGCCUCUGCGCGUUCAAGUUUCAACGGGUGGUACAUCGCUUUCUCCCACUUGUCUUCCUCCUGUGGCCACUCGAGUCCUCUGUGGCGAUUACGUCAUGCGUCAUUGCGCAACAAAUAACGGGUUGGGUCAAGGAAGAGACCCUCGUGAUUCUUUAUGAGAUCCAAUCCACUCACGAGCAGAAAAGGAGGUGUGAUCACAUGCUGGAAGGCACUAAGAAUUAAGCCCGUAUAAUUGACUCCUGACUUGUUGUCAGACACUCUCGAGUCCCGUGGGAAGACCAUCCAAGAAGAGGCCUCAGCUUUGAAUUGGAAUCUUCUUUCUAACUUAGGCCGUGAAGCAAUGGCGACCAACCUUUGAGUUAUUCCAUAGACUAACAACUUUGUGGCUAUUUGUUUAGUAUUGGAUUAAUGGACUGAACUCAAUCGUUCCUCGCCCAAAAGAACCAUUGGCUAAUGUUACUUGAUAUGAAGGAUCCAAAGCAACCACCAAGAAAAGAAUGUCGAAAGAAGAACCACAAAGCAUUUGAGAACAAUCAUGAUCUCAAGGUGGCCUAUCACUUUCUUCUUCCUUCUUUCCUGCUAUUUCUUCUGAUAUAAUCAUGUGGAAAGACAUAAUAUAAUCCAUCUCUAAGCAGUGUGGCUCCCUGUGGAAAGACAUAAUCUAAUCCAUCUCUAAGCAGUGUGGCUCCCUGCGACAGGCUCUCUUACGUUCAUGCGUUUCUGGCUGACAUAAGUCUACGGAGACAUGAUGUUGCAGAGGUUGCAUAAUCCACCGCACCUCUCCAACAUUUCACAUGGCAAGCCCCGUUCCGUUUGUCAUGUCCUUGCUAAGCUUUUGGAAUGUUGCAGAAAACGAGCCAUGGGGUUCGUGCAAUGCUUCUCAAAUUGGAACAGUGGUGAGAAAUCUGCGGUGGCUCAGUCACUGUCGGUCGAUAGACCAUGAAAUGUUUGAAGGACUCGUAAUUCUUCCUGCAUGUGUUUAAUUUCUCCUCGGGAUAAGCCAAGCACUUGAAAAACCAUCUCCAAUGCAUAAGCUAGAUUAAGCAUCUCAUGUGGAGAUCAGGAUACCUGCAGUUUAAGGAGUGCUAAUAUCACAGACUAUACAAAUCACCCAGCUUGUGUACUAGACAUUGUCUUUCUUCUCCGAUGAGUGGUCAGACUUCCACUUCAAGUGUUGGAAGAUGUAGCCAGGGCACUUGCAAAUAACAAGUCGGGUGGUUCUUGAUGUGGAUGGUUGGAGAUGGCAUUCUCGAGGGUUGUCGAAGGAUGCAAUUUGCAUUUCGACAUGGAACAGUGAAGAUAAUGUGCUUCCUCUGGUUCAGUGGUGCCAGUGCCUCAGCUACUAGCUUUGUUGCUUGCUCAUGCCAAGAUAAGUGGGAGGAGUAGAAAAUUAGAACCAUUCAACAAAGGAGAUGAUUCUUGCAACACCACAUUUGAAGCAUGGUCAUCAUGCAUCAACCUGUGUAGUAGGUGGUGUUCUAACAUUUGCACCCCAAAAAGAAGGGUUUGACCAAUGUGCAUUGGCUGUUGCUUCAACCUCUGUUCAGAAGCAGAAAGUGUUGUGCUAGCCAUCAUUAUUAAAGAUUAUGGAUGGUAGCAUCAACCCUUUUUUGUCAGUUACAGAGAUGACUGAAUCACUAAUGCUCAGAGACUCCAGCAUGGCUGGCCAUAUGUCCAGCAAGAAAACUAUGGAGAUCAACCCAGAGAAUCCUAUCAUGGAGGAGUUGAGGAAGCGAGCAGAUGCUGACAAGAAUGACAAAUCAGUUAAGGACCUGACACUUCUGCUGUUUGAGACUGCUCUCCUCACCUCUGGUUUCUGCUUGAAUGACCCCAAUACUAUUGGCAACAGGAUCCACCGAAUGCUGAAAUUAGGUCUCAGCAUCGAUGAGGAUGAAAAGGUUGAAGACACUGACAUGCCUACGCUUGAGGAUGCUGCUGAUGCCGAAGAGAGUAAGAUGGAGGAAAUGGACUAAUCUGGAUCAAGUUGGCUUUCUGUAUUCUGCUGCUUCUCUUGCAAUUUUUUGGUGUGCUUUUCAUAUAUGCACUAACUAUGUAGACGGCCUUCAUCACCUUUUGCCAAAGAGAUCUUUAUAACUGUUGUCUAUGCAUGCAUGGAUAAUUCAUGUUCUAUGUUAACAAGUCUAUGGUUUGAAUGUCGAUUUAGCAUGGUUGACAUUUCAUUUUUAUAGUCCUGUCUUGUGGCAAGAAGCUGCAUGAAAACAGAAUCAUGUCUAAGUUUGUCUUGAUAGUAAAUGCCAUGUUCCAGAGUAAGAUUUUGCUUUCAUUAAUUCGAGUUCGAUCGAUCAUGGAGCAUUUGGUUAUCGGAGUUCUAGAUGUUUUGCUUUGAUCAUUAGCUACGCAAUGGAAGUCAUGUGUGAAUUGUGAUGAUAUAAAUAAGAAGCUGCUGAAGAAUGACUGCCAAAUUCAACUUUACGGACAAAAGAGACAGACAUACUGAUAAUAGAUUCGGAGGAACAGAAUCUAUACUAUGUGAACAUACUGACUCCGGGUGUCUUCAUUUUGUCACCCAUUGUUCUUAUUGAUGCAGAAAACAAAGAGCAGGUGGUUGCGUGGUGAAUCAAUCAGCUGCAAGCCUGCGGCACAAAUCCAAUCCUCUCGUUUCCUAGAUCAUAGACCACUUCAAACGUUUGCUGCUGCACGUUGCCGAUGAUACCGAACCUACCGCCCUUAUAUCCAGUAAAAGCCAAGCAGCCAUGCAUGAGGAUCCCAGAUAUGUCGAGAUCCAUUGUGACUCCAUCGAAGAGCAGCGCUACUUUCGGGACUGUUAUGGUCUCGUAGCCGCUGAAGUCAUAACAGGUAUCGAGUACUCGCGUAGGAGGCGCAGCGGGGUACUGGGACAUGUAGCACCGGAACGCAGACCUCAGUGCUCCGUAGGCCGACGCCGGGAGGCGAGUGAUGGUAGUGCCGGAGUCGAUGAUCGUGCCACGGGACGAGAAAACCGAUGGCGAAAUGUCCAGUUGCUGCCCACCGACACUGAUUCCGAUCAGGUCAAGGAAGUAAAAGCUUGGAUGAUUGGAGCUGGUCUGCAUUCGAGUGUAAACGGUGUUGGAGGCGUCACCAGGUUCGCCCAGUUUCAGGAACCCGGUGGAGCUGGGAGUCGAAGGAAGGCAGUAGGAGAAGACCGACUGGUAAACUUGCGACGUUUGAGACACCAGAGAGCGCUUGCCGCGGCCGAGGCCCACGAGCCCUGCGGCGUUGAGGAACAGCCUUUCGUUGUCUGUGCCGCACCCGAAGAGGAAGGGCUCGAUCACGUCGUUUGGCGACAGCGUCAGUCUGUCGUAGCUGUAGACUCCUGAACGUUUCGGCCCACUGCCGUAGUGGAUGACAUAAGUGCAAGAGCUGGAGCAGCUGCUUCGGAGCUGACUGCAGUCCGACGAGUUGCAAGGGAUCGCGGCGUAGGAGGAUGAUUGGGAUGGGUCAAAGAUCGGCUCCUUCUGCGAGUAGCAUACGUUGCGUGGUUUGCAUUUGAUCCAACUCAGGUCGCUUCCGGUGUCCAUUAUCACAGUCUGCUCUUGGCUGGGGGUGCCAUAGCCGACUGUAAUCACGUACCCCCCUCCUCCGUACUCCGCGGGGAUGCUUGCCUUGGAAUCAUCGACCUGUGGCUUGGCGGAAGGCUUCAAGGCACUUCGCCGGAGAUAGUUGACUCGAAGUUGGUCUUUCAGAAGAAUCUCUUCCAGCGAUAGCAGUUUCUUGUCGUCGAAGGGGGAGCAGGGUCCAUGCCGAUGCACCAACGGGAGGGCGGUAGCGUUAGAUCCUGAGAACGACGAAACUAUCUUUUAAGGAAACUGUAUCAAAUGGUUUCAGCAAUUCAUGGGUAGAAUUUCCAAUUUUCUACGGAGUAUGAGAUCUGCAACCCAAAGAAAAGUUUGAUGCAAGAGAGCAGCUGGGGUAUGACUGACCCUUGGAUGAGGAGCAGACAACUUCGGGACUCGAAUUAUGAUUUCGAACCACGUGGUAGCUCUGAGCGUCUUCUCCGCUAGCAAGGGAAGAACAGUGACUCAGGAACAGAACAGAAGAGCCGAUUAAGAGAGCAGCCGAAGCCAUUUGCUGGGAAGAUACAAGCCCUGGCCGCAGGAUAGCUAUGGCAAUGCAUCCAAUUUAUAGAGACUUCGAAACCACUUUCUUUGUGCUACCACAUUGGCCUCUGAUUUGAGUCAAGUAUGUGGACUAGUCGUUGACUUCGAAUUGACUGGCAUCGUCAAGUUCUUCCACACAAUCACGGACCAAUUUAUGCUUAGUUUCGCAAUCCCACUGCAAAAUCCACGAAAUAAUUUGGUUUACGACACAACGAUGAGUUCGAAAGGAAGAGUUUUGACAGUUCAAAGUCGAAUGAUUAGAGCCACAACUCGAGUGCAACAUAAAUCCUGACUGGCUCAUAAAUCGUCAACUAAUAACAACCACAACUAAAUGCUUCCUUAUGGGUGUUCUACGAGUCACCCAGGCGAGUGGAUCGGGAGCUAAUCGAGAGGGAAUUACACAGUAUACUUCCAUGUCCGCACGAACCAAAGUGCGCAAGAACAUGGACUCGUACUUCUGAAACCUGCAAUGAUAGAUCGAUAGCUCCGAUACUGUAUGUGAUGAACGGAUUGCACUAUGAGAAUAACUUCAGCUGGUCUGGUGUUGAAUCAAUGGUUGGCAGCAGCAGAGGCUAAUCAAAAGAAGAAGACGAAGAGGAGGUACAGGCAGGGGAGGUGGCCAUGAAAGAGACACACUCCCAAAUGAUUGCGAAGGACAAGCUACUCCAAGUGACAUUAAACUACUCGGCAACAAUGGCGUUUUCCAAUUAAUCAUGGACCAAUUUAGCUUUAUUUGGAGAGUAAAAUAGGAUGGAAAGUUAUCAGACUUUGUAGAUCUUUAUGCAGACUAGAAGAGUUUAUUAUUAGUAACAUAUAUUUUCUACGCAUGUUAAGAUCUAUAAAGUUGCAGAUGGUGUGAUUUAUAAUGAAAACAAUAUCACAACAGUUAUCCCUUUUAUUAAAAUUAUCACAAGUACAAGUUUGAAUUAUGAAUUAGACAUGAAUUUGCUAUUAGAUUUAAGCUUCCCAUACAUUUUAUGUUAUUAUUUGUUUUUUUGAUCAAAUAUACUUUUCUUAUGAUUAAGAAUAAUCUACAGUAAAUUAAAUUAUAUGUGCCUUCAACAGCUAGUUAUAGAAUUAUAGCAUUUCACUCACAUCCUCUAGCUUUUCUCUAUCGUCUUCCUCCUUUCGAUGUGGUGACUAAAUAGACCAUCCUUCAGAAGGACCCUCGUGAUUCUUUAUUAUAUACGAAGAAAAAUGUUGUUAGAUUAAUUAAUCUGAGCUCUAGCUUAUACUUCCAAAACAUAAUGCCAAACACAUAAUUAACCAAGAAAAGAGGCACACGUACAGAAGAACCAGAAUGGUGUAUCACAGAUAACAGUUUACUGAAAUAGAAGCAGGGAGGUGGAUGCUGAAAUAGAACGGUAGACAAUUCUGGUGAAGGUAAUAGAGGCUGACUGCCAGCUGCAGGUGCAUGCUAUAUAUCCUUAUGCCUCAUGCUAUU
rnacentral:lncRNA from 1 species